AGUGAACGCUGGCGGUAGGCCUAACACAUGCAAGUCGAACGGCAGCACAGGAGAGCUUGCUCUCUGGGUGGCGAGUGGCGGACGGGUGAGGAAUACAUCGGAAUCUACUCUGUCGUGGGGGAUAACGUAGGGAAACUUACGCUAAUACCGCAUACGACCUACGGGUGAAAGCAGGGGACCUUCGGGCCUUGCGCGAUUGAAUGAGCCGAUGUCGGAUUAGCUAGUUGGCGGGGUAAAGGCCCACCAAGGCGACGAUCCGUAGCUGGUCUGAGAGGAUGAUCGGCCACACUGGAACUGAGACACGGUCCAGACUCCUACGGGAGGCAGCAGUGGGGAAUAUUGGACAAUGGGCGCAAGCCUGAUCCAGCCAUCCCGCGUGGGUGAAGAAGGCCUUCGGGUUGUAAAGCCCUUUUGUUGGGAAAGAAAUCCAGCUGGCUAAUACCCGGUUGGGAUGACGGUACCCAAAGAAUAAGCACCGGCUAACUUCGUGCCAGCAGCCGCCGUAA
rnacentral:rRNA from 1 species